CGCAAUGAACAUUAAUGAAUAGUGAAUGGGUCAUCUUCAUUGGUUCACAAGGGCGACGCCUUCACCCCUUCAGUCCAUAUAUAACGCGGUGAGAAAGAGUUGUCGAUUGAUGAUGGUGGAGCGGUUAACGGAGGAGCACCGCUGCCCCUUCCGUCCAUCUUGUCUGAUCGACGCCUAUUCCCGUCUUCGAUCUCCUAAGCGCCUGUUCAAUGAAUACCCGUCGUUGCCGGCGGCCAUUUGAGUCCGAUUCUGGCAGCAACGGCUACCCAAUGGAGGCCUAUUAUUACCGGCGGCCAUUUGAGUCUGUUUCUAGCGGUGACGACCUUCAGAUUUCUUCAUGGUAAUCUCUUUUUAUCUCCAUUCUUGAGUUUUAUACUUUUAGAGCUUUUGGUAUAAUGCAUGACUUCUCUAAUUUGAGAACUCUUUGGAUCUGUAAAGCCUAAAGAAUUUCUGGUGUAAAACCCUAAGUCUACUAUGAAUUUCUAGGGGUGAUCAUGAAGUUGUAAAGGUGGAAUCUUUGCAUGUUAGGAACUCAAAUAUCAAGAUUUAGAAAUGGAACUUUGAUCGUCUUGUUGUUAUAUUAUCAACCAGUUGAAUUUCACCGGCCUGUUGGAAUUAAGGGUAUAUGGAACUGAAAGUUAUAUUUAGUCGUUGCGUACCGAGUUCGUUUGCUGGCUAUGAUGACUUUGGUAAAAAAAAGUUUAGGUUUGAUGUUGCAUAGCAAGGAUGGCGAGUGCAGUGUUUACUACUAGCAACCUGUUAUGCAGCUAUGACAACCUCUAUACCUAUUCUGUGUCGUCUAUUACAAGUCAUUAAAAAACCAAAACGAGUUCCAGUUCCAUAAACGACCUUAUUAAAAUGAGUGAAUCAUUUCCAUUUUAAUGGAUCAGUAAAAAUGGAAAGAAGGGUUUCAUGUAGCUUCAAUGACUGCAGCUAGCAGUCGUUGGGGUGUUGUGAUGUCAACAAACGCAGGAUUCUUUUACCAGGUAUUGUUAUGUGCUUUUAUCGAGCAUAUAAAAGUUAUAGCAGAAUGUUAAAUUUGCAAAUUUGAAUGCAUAUUGUUAAUAUUUUGGUACGUUUACAACCAAGCCGGCUCGGUUUGUAAAGUAGCCGAGACCAGCUCCGGGGAAGUUCCGCCGACUGUGUUGGCGCGUCAACCCUAUCAAUCGAAAGCCUAGAUCAUCGUGAAGCUCAUGGUGAUGAUCGUUUAUCUGAUUACAACGCGGUGGUGGUUCAAUUGAGACCUUAGAUAGUCGGCGGCUACGGUUCAUGACUCUAAGGUGAUGACGGAGACGAUGUAGGUUAAGUUUCAGGCGAUCAAUGGUGUCAAACGAUGGUCGUUCACAACAAAUAGACGGUCGGCGACGGUCAGCGAUGGUCAAAACAAGGGAACACAUUCUGGUCACCUAUGGUUUAGGGUUUUCACCGUACUACCGAUUAGGAAUGCGAUAUGUUUGUUUUUAUGCUUUGCAUUUUGGUACUGGUGAUGAUAACUUUUGCCUCCAGAAGAAAAUGGUAUGAUCCCUUGCUUUACCUUAGCUCCUAUUAUGAGUUUGGUUUUCAUUUUUUUAAAUCCGUUUGCAUAUAUCAUACAAGUUGUUCAACCUAUUGAUUGCUUCUUUUUGCUUGCUUAUUUCUUAAUGGUAGCUUACGUUUUUUAUUAUUAUUAAAUAGCAUUUUAACUCUCUUUGAUGUUUGUUAUGCAAGUAUACAGUUCUAAAGUCUUAAAACCGAUUUGAAUGGUGAAUAAAUCAUCUUUCUGUUUGUGUUACAAAAAAGAGGUACAACGAGUUUGUUGCACAAGUGAAAUCAGUGCUCAAACACUACCCAACUCUUCAAUUAUAUCAACCAAGAAAGGUUACAUUUGUCUUUUCCACAUAAUUAUGCAAAUCAUAUAUUUGUUUUAAAAUUUUGAUCUCUUUUCACUUUAGGUCUACAUAUAAUAUGUGUGUACACAGUUAUGUACUGUAGCAUGUAAUGUGUGUUAAAGAUUAUUGGUUGUGAACGUAUGUGAAAAAAAACACGGGUCAAAACGGGCCGACAACUUCAAAGAAGUAGAUCAAUGUGGGUUGGUGUCUUAAAGAAACGAGGCAAGUUUCGGAUCAAAAUAGGUUCGGUUCGGAUUGAAUUUAGUGUUGAUGUAUGCAAAGGUUUUGUUUUACUUCUUACAAUGCUAUGGGUUCUCAUAUAGAUAGUUUCAUAACCAAGGAGUCGCACACGCAUGUUCUUUAGCAACGCCCCCAGUGAUAGGAAAAGCUGUUGAUGUUAUGCUACUGCAGAGGUUGCAAAGAAAUGAGCUACUACGGUACCACUAUGUAAAGACCGAGCUUUCCGCCGCCGACCUCAUGGUAUCAGUCAAACCGUUUACCAGUAAAAUGUGCAGGCGUGAAGAUCGGAAAACCAACUCACUGACUGACCAACCAGGCUCGGUUAUAGCAUACGGAAGACUGAGCACACCAGCUCCAACCAUGGAUAUGACAUUGUAGAAGGCGGAGCACCACCAUGUGGCAUUGCGUGAUCAUGUGACUGGAAGCCAUUUGUCAAUGGCGCGGGCCGUUCGGUUUUAUUGUCAACCUGUCACAAUCAUGAUUUUUUUAAAUAAGUUUUUUAGAGGAACAAAAUUGUAAUUGUACCAUAAGUCAAUAAUAAUACUCAUAUGUUAAUAAGAAA